UCUGCUCAGAAGUGGUAACUGCUCUUUCUCUGGAACGGUUGAAGAGGGGAUGGAGCAGAAGCAAUCACCUUGUGCAGCAAUGGAAAUGGAGGACUUCAUUAGGAGCCAGAAGCCCCUCACAGCUCACCUAAUCACUGGCUCUCAACAACUAUGUGCUUUACAGGGCCUGCAUAAGGAGGCUACCUAUAAGGAGAAGAAGCUGAGUUUCAUUUUGCUACUGAGAAACACACAAAGGAUGGAUGGCCUUUAACUUCCUAAGCGUUGCACCUGAGAGCAGAAGAAAUUGCCAGAUCCCUGCUGAUUUAUGAAAUGCAUUUCAAAGCCACAGAACUACCAUUUUAGGCAUUGCAGCAUAAUUUAAUUGGCAUUAUUUUUCUUACUGGUCCAGAAAAUAAUGGUGUGAUUUACAAAUGUUGAUGUCUUCAGUUUGAUCAAACACUGUGUUUAAAAUUGUAUACCUCUUACUGCUGAUCUACUUUAUCCUGCUCUACUGAACUAUAUAAUUCACUAAUUUACUCUAAAUUUACCAUCAGUCUCCUUCAGCUGAAGAUGAGCUCCCUGAAGGCAAGCAUCUUUGUUUAUUCAUCGUAGGGUCUAGAAAAACCAAUGUUCAAUACAUAAUUGUUAAAUGAAUUAAUGACUGAAGGAAUUGGAUUGUAACCCCUACUUGAAUGUAAUUUUACACUUACCCUUGUGACCUUGGUAGAACUAAUAUCCCUGCCUUUGUCAGGCUGGCAGCUUUAUGGCAAAUCUACAUUUUGAGUGUGUAGGAAGACUGGCCAAGGGACAAUAUCAAAGGCUAGUACCACAAGCCCUAAAGCAAUAAUGAAGAAUGACAUAGAUAGUUUCUAGUGAUGACUCUGUAUGUAUAGGAGGGAAGUGGGCAUUGGGAUGAGGAAGGAAUCAAUGAUUAUUCUCUUACAGCCAUGGAUAUGGUCAAAUGUGUGGAAUGAAUAGAUGAGUAAAUGCAACAUUUGACAAUUUCUCCAAAUAUGAUUUUUUUAUCAUGUACUAAUGGUUAUAUUUUUAAGUGGUAAUCUCAUUACCUCUCCAAGACCAAGCAAGACAUCAAUCAAAUGGUGUGAGAAGCAAAUUCAUGCAUUAACUUAACCAUGAAAGCAAGCAGUGGCUCAUGUGCCAUGAAAAGAAUUCAGAUUCGAAGGAAUGAGAAUCAGGCAGCAGGCUGAGUGAAUAUUCUCACAAUCAGAGCUUGACCUAGUGAGAAAUUAAGCAUACUCUACUUUUCCUUUAGUCUUCAUUUAUUUUGCUUAAGUUUGUGGGGGAUAUGUUGGCUUAAUUUGCGUCUGAUGAUUGUAUUUCUUCUUGGGAGAAAUGGAAGAAGUGACUAAUACCUACCAGGUGGACGGCAGGUAGGCAGAGGUGAAUGGAAGCAGAGCCAACACAUUUUCUGUGCCAAGUACAAUUCCCCAGGCUGAAUUAUAUUUCAAAUUUGUUUGCAUUGGUUCUUUCAUUAUCUCUUACACAAAUAGAGCUGAAAAACCAGAUGGUUAAGUACAGAAUACCGUGAUAUGAUGACUUGUAGACACAAGGGGUCAGCAUUUGAACGCAGAUGAUUUGGUCGAAGUCUUGCCUUGUUCCCUUCUGCUGCUCUACCUCUGCCUUGAUGUGCUUCUGUGUGUGAGGGUAGAUAGGGAAAUGAAAUUCAAUUUGUAUUUUGCAAAUCGCUUUCUUUUCCAGUUUAGGAUUCUGAGAUCUCCCUUUUAGAUUUAAUCAGUCUGUUAUUGUCAUAGGAGAUGACAUCUAACAAUGAAUCUUACCAGUCUCACUGGCCCCAAUGGUUUCAGCAAACUUCAGUGACCUCCAGAUACAUGCUAAUUUUCUUCUUCGCAAAAGAGCUUCUUAACCUGAAGGGUCCCUAAUAUAUGCUUGCUUAAUACAUGUAUUGGAUGAUACACUAUUUUACUGAUGUAAAUCUGCCCAAAACAAGAGAUACCUGGUUAGAGAGAUUGUAUCUUGAUUCUGAGCUUAUUCUGAGCUUUUGACUUCACAUUGGGCUCCAUUAUAAUUGCUGUCUUUGAUCUGUCCUUUCAUUUUCUACAUCUAACUCAGGGCAAAUGCAUGCUACAGUAUCUCUUAAGAAACACUAUAUUAUUCCCAAAAUUAAAAAUUAUUACAUACAGUAAAAUUCACUUUUUUGGGUGCACAGUUCCUUAGCUGGGUGUCUCUGGCUCAAGAUCUCAUGAAGCUGUAAUUGAGAUGUCAGACAGAGCUGCUCUCCCAUCUGAAGGUAUAACUGAGGGAGAAUCCACAUUUGCUCCUGUGGCUACGUGUGGGAUUCAGUUCCUCAUGGACUGUUGGACUGGGGACUUCAGUUCCCUGCUGGCUAUUGCUGGAGGCUUCCCUCGGUUCCUUGUCAUGUCUCCACAGGGCAGAGUAACCCAGGUGACACAGCUUGUUUCCACGCAGGUGAGAAAGCGAGAGACUGAGAGCAAAAUUAAACUCAGGGUGUUUUUUCUAACCCAUGUAGAAGUGACAUCCCGUCAUGUUUGCUGUAUUCUAUUUAUUGGAUGCAAAAGUAGAGAGGAUUACGCAACGCUGUGAACAUCAGAAAGCAGGGAUCAUUGGGGACCAUUUUAGAGGCUGCCACCAUAAAGGCUGUCACAAUGAUCCAAUUGAGAAAUGAUGGAGUUUGAAUUCGUGUGGUGUCAGUAGGCUAGCAUCCUCUGAUUGCAAAAUAUGUGUGACAUUUAGAAGAAUAUAAUUGCUAAAACGUGAUGGUUGAUUGGCUAUGGUAGAUAAAGGAACAAAAAUUUUUGAAGAAGACUCCAGAUUUCAAGCUUGAGCUCCUGAGUAGAUGGCAGUAUUCUUCACUUAUAAUGAUAUCCUGCAGGAAGGAAGAGAUCGUGACUGCUGUUUUGGGCAUAUUAGCUUGCAAGUACCUGUGAGGUAUCUAAUUUGAAUGUCAGGCAGGUGGUUAGAUAUUCAGAUUUGGAACUCAUAAGAAAGUUGUGGGUCAGAUAAUAGAUUUAGGUUUUGUCACCAUAGAGAUUGUAAUUGAAGCCUGUCUUAGGUCCAGUUUCUAGGAGCACAAAUUUCCCAAAUAACAAGUGAGUCAGUAGGAAUGAAGUGAAUGGACUCUUUCUAGUUCUGCCCCUUGACUCUUGUAUUCAUAUAUUCUACCACUGGAUUCUACCAUUGGAUACACAGUACCACAUAAUGACCAUUGGUAUAAGGUAUAUACUACAUCCUAAAGCAACACCAAAACCUCAUAAUGUAUUGUCUCUAAGCUGGCACGUUAGUUGUGACUUUAAGAAACUCUUCCAAUCUCUAUCAGAAUAGCAAUGUCUGGGCUAUACAGUGUGUGGGAAUUGGUGGAUUCCAUACUCACACACCUGUUCUGUGACCCCCCCUCUGUCAUAAGUUGGCUUCUUGGUCUGAUGCAAUAUUGUUCAGGAUUCCAUGUCAGUAAAUCAAGUACUCUGUGAGUCUUUGAAUAGUAGGUGUGAAUUGAGGCACUGUGGGCAGAAAGGCAAACCUAUACCCAGAAAAUAUGCUAUUGCUGGAUAAGACAAAUAACUUCCCUUUUCAGGGUAGAAAAGGAAUUAUUUGCAACUAAAUGGUGUCUUCUUGAGAGAUGGUAGCAUACUGGGCAUCUUUCAGACAGGUUUGAGCAGUGGCAGUAACUAGAUCAGCAUUGGUGGGAGGGAGACCCUUCCACUGGGCUCAUGCAGAGCCUCCAUUUGAAUAUCCAUGACUAUUCUUUGAGGAGGCCCAAUGUGCCAGCCCUGGUGUGGCCAGGGCUACCUGACAUUUACCAGUUAAGUCAUCCUGUCCAACCAGUUUUAUAGAGCCUCUUCUAGAGUCAAUACUCCCUAAUGGGCGUUAAUGCAUGAUACACAGUUUGCCCAUUCCUGUAGAUCCAUGAACCUGUUUCUACUCCCGAUCUCUUUGUUGCCAAUCUUCCAAUCCAAAUGGUCCAAUUCCAAAUGAUCCACUCUGCACUGCUCAGAAGUCCAUGCUUAUCCUUCCUUCAAGCGACUCUCUUCACACAAAGUGGGUGACCAGGUGCACUCCUGUUCAAAGCUGGGACCUCUGUCAUGCAGCAGCAGGCUAUUUUUGUUUAUACUAGUGUACCAAGCUGGUCUAUCUGUGAAUCAGACCUUGGUUUUUUCUCUCCUUCAUCACUGGUGGGUCCUCAGUUAUAAUAUAGAACUAUUUUGGCAUAUCCAUAUCUUGGGCUUUUGAAUCUCUUCCUUAGAACUCUGGUAAGACUACUCUGGUACCUCCACCUCAUUUAAUGUGAGUCAGCCUUAUCACUCCACACCAAGUUCUUAAGAGUCAUCCCAGCAAUGGAAUAAGACUGGUUCUAAACCCCACAGGAAGUCCUCUGAGGGUCACUGGGAGCAAAAGUGAACUAAAACCAGGGAAGAGGCACAGAGACUGGUAAAGAUGAUUUGAAGAGAGCUGUGCAGCCACUAACCGUGUCUACUGUGAAGCCAUCAGGGUGGAUGACAUGGAGAGAGGGUGAAGUGAGAAGAGCACAAUAUUUCAGACGGAGCCCUCCCUACAAAACCCCAAAACCCCAAUAGUUAAUGAUUAAUAGAGAAAAUAUUGCCUACAAAUAAGACAGAAAUCGAGUUGCAAAAGAUGAUGCCAGACAGUGUUUUAAGUAAAGGAUUAUUUCACUGAACUGGCAGAUGCUGAGUCAUUAAGUAAGCUGAAAGUUCAAAUGCAUUCACUGGAUGUAGUAUAAUGGAGGUCAAUGAUGACCUUGGCAAGGGCAGUGUCAGUGGGAUGGUGGGCCCAGGAGCCAGAUUUAGAGUGAAGAGUGGGAGGAAAGUAAAGAAAACCAAAUAAAGAAAGGGAACAGAAGAGGAAAGGGAAGAAAUAAGAUGAUGGAUUGAAAAGACUAUCAGAUUAAGGGAAUAUUUUAUUCUAUUCUCUGUUUUGAUUUUAAGUUUGGAGAGACAUGAAUAAUGCUAGUUUGAAGGAGGUCUGGGAGAGAGAGAGGGAGAGAGAAAGAGAGGGAGAGAUAGAGAGAGAUAUUCAUUGGUGCCUGAUUCCUAAGGAGAAGACUCUAGGGAAAAAAGAUUCUAAGUCCAGAUGAAGGAAUUGCUUUUGAUGAUAAGGAACAAUCUCCAUAUUGCAACAGAAAGGUGGAGAGAAUGAUAGUUUUGGGAUUUGAUGGUGGGAAGUUGAGGCUAUAUAGUUCCAAUCAGAUGGUUGAUUUUCCCCCAGUAGAAGACAGGGUCAUUUGGUAAGAGUUCAUGGGUUGGAUAAAGUACGAGGAUUGAGGAUGGUGGACAGUGUCUGAAAGAAAGGACAGAUGGUAUACAGAGGUGGCAGAUGGCAAUGGCAAUGAGGAAGAUAGAGACUGUAAAGCUAGACUCAGCAGGUUCAGGAUUUACAGAGGCUGGAAAAAUAUUGUCUGGAACAUGAACCCACUUGCAGCCCUGAGAUACUUGGGGAAUUAGGAAAUAUGCCACUUCUAUCAAAAGGGCUGUAACAGAAGUGGUGUUCCACAUGGGAAGUUAGGGUUAAUUAUGAGCAGAAAGUGCAAGGAAGACAAGUUGUGGGAAUGUAGAAGAAUUGUUUAUCAUAGAGCUGGGGUUUCUGAAGAAUAAAAUGAAGAUUUGGGGAGUUUGGGGAGGGUUGGGACAGGGAUUAAGUCAGGAAGGAGAAAACAUAGAACAUUACACAAACCAGCAAAAUAUUCUAUAAUUUUUUUUUUCGGAUCUUUCUCUCUCAUUUUUCUUUUCAACCAACAAGGACACUAUUUUUUUUUUUACUAGUUAUCAGUAUAAACUGUCCCCUAUACAAAGAAAUUCAAUUGGAACAAUUUGCAAAAUUGAACUAAAAUAAAUCUUAACUGGAAUUUAAGUUAACUGGUUGCUCUGGUCUAAACUGAGAUAUUGCUUUUAAGAAUAUAUUCAUGUUUGGGCAUUAAUAGUUCACCAUUUUGCCAUGAUUAUAAUUAAAUAUUAUUAACUUCUCUCUCCUUGA